UACGUAGGUGACAAGCGUUAUCCGGAUUCACUGGGUGUAAAGGGAGCGUAGACGGCCAUGCAAGCCUGGAGUGAAAGCCCGGGGCCCAACCCCGGGACUGCUCUGGGAACUGUGCGGCUGGAGUGCGGGAGGGGCAGGCGGAAUUCCUGGUGUAGCGGUGAAAUGCGUAGAUAUCAGGAGGAACACCGGCGGCGAAGGCGGCCUGCUGGACCGCGACUGACGUUGAGGCUCGAAAGCGUGGGGAGCAAACAGG
rnacentral:rRNA from 1 species